rnacentral:rRNA from 1 species
AACGAACGCUGGCGGCAUGCCUAACACAUGCAAGUCGAACGAGACCUUCGGGUCUAGUGGCGAACGGGUGCGUAACGCGUGGGAACCUGCCCUUAGGUUCGGAAUAACUCCCCGAAAGGGGUGCUAAUACCGGAUAAUGUCUUCGGCCCAAAGAUUUAUCGCCUUUGGGUGGGCCCGCGUUGGAUUAGCUAGUUGGUAGGGUAAAAGCCUACCAAGGCGACGAUCCAUAGCUGGACUGAGAGGAUGAUCAGCCACACUGGGACUGAGACACGGCCCAGACUCCUACGGGAGGCAGCAGUGGGGAAUAUUGAACGAUGGGCGAAAGCCUGAUCCAGCAAUGCCGCGUGAGUGAUGAAGGCCUUAGGGUUGUAAAGCUCUUUUACCCGGGAUGAUAAUGACAGUACCGGGAGAAUAAGCUCCGGCUAACUCCGU